UUGCUAUUCACACUUUUUAUGGUAAAUGAUCACUGCAAACAGUGGCCUGGGGAUUUCCUGAUGGAUUUUUGAGCUGAAUCACCUGUAUGACCUGUAAUGCUUACAAUGCGGGUGGGGUCCUGAAGAUGCAGGGCAGUUGUAGCACAUCUGGACGGACCUGGAGACAAUUCGAUGCAGCGGAACCAAGAUGAGGUGCUGAUGCUGUUGAAGCCUGUGAUCCACACAGCGGCUGAAAAAAUUGAGGCAAAUGCAGAAGGCUAGUGAGUGUUAAGCGCCGUCUACCAGCCACCCGAUUGCAUCUGCCGGAGGAAGGGUUGUGUGACGAGCCAACGAGAUAGCAUCUGCUGUAGACCUAUUACUUCAGUCAUUGAAGUGGAGCAGAUCCAAGUCACCACUCAGACAGGAGCUGAUAUGCUUCAACACCAGCCUCUCAAAUCACUUCACCAUUAUGGAUGUACAGGACAAUCCUAUUUGACCUGUCCUAUACUAUCUAUUAAAACAUCUGCAACCAUGAGAUUUGUUCCUCAAACAUGACUUUCAAAGAACUUUUUGGACAGCAUCACCUCCAGAUCUAAGAUUUCCAUGAAGAGCGUGCUGGGAAAUGAAUAGAAAUCUUGUGCAGGCUUAACAAACCUGGACUUCAGACCUAAACUUCACCCUUCGGCUGGGAUGAGGAAUUGGUCAGGAGGAUGGAGAAAGAGUAGGAUAAUGGACAUGAACUUGUAUUGUCUCAGAGGAUCUGCCUCUGACCUCAACUCUUCCUGCAUUUAUAACGACUUUGUCAAUGAUUUCCAGAGAUGCAAAUUUACAGUGUAUUUGCUGACCAAAUUGAGUUAGGAGCCCUGGCAAAGAGUAUGUCUGCAAGCAUGAUGACUUUAACAGUUGGGCUGAGUGAAUGAAACCCUGUACAUUAGUGUACAUUAGGCCAAAAUAAGAUAAGAUGCAGCAUUCCUAAGUGAUGGUAAGUGUGAAAGUGUAAGCAAAUGGAGAUUGAUUGGGUCCAUCUGCAUAAAACACAGGACAGGUACAAGAAAAUAAGAAAGGAUAUGAUCAUGUAGACUAUUUCCCCAAGUAGGAUAAAAUACAGUGGAAUGUUUCUUACGCUGCAUCUGUACAGAGGUAUGGUUAUACAUCUGCAUUUCUACAGCCAGUCUGCAUAUCUACAAAGUACACUUUCUGAGACAUUGUGCCCAUAUAUGUCACAUGGGGACAUGGAGACUGGACCCAAAUGCAGGACACAGGCACUGAAGUACUAGGGGCAGGACAGGAACAACUAAAGGAUAGAACAAGAUGAGGAGACCAUGGCAUGCAACAGUGAUCCUGGGGUUCAGAGAGUUCAUGGCAAAAGCAGGACCCUGGCUAGGCUAAAGGAUGGGACUAUGGGACAAGGAAGGCUGGGAGGAUAGUCCCCUGGGCAGGCCACAUAACUCCUGGGCAGGGCCCAGCCUCCCAGAGAACACAGGGGCCUGGGCAAGACAGAGGGCACCUGGGUAGGAUGUGGGGCACAACCCAUCAGAAGAGAGGGGUAGGAAAGGGUCAGACUCCUCAGGGCAGCCCACAUAGCUCCUGGGCAGGGCCACCUCCCAGGCAGGAAUACAGGGGCGUGGGCAAGACAUAGAGCACCUGGGCAGGUUGCGGGGCACAACCCAUCAGAAGAGAGGGGUAGGAAAGGGUCAGAGUCCCCCCACCAGGCAACAGCAGUCCAGCCUGCUUACCCAACAGAGGCAAGGGAUCAGAAGGGAGCUCAGUCCAGGGUGACUACAAGAACAGACUUACAGAACUAGAUGAUUAACAGUGGGUACUCCAAGACAGGGUGGAAACGGGAUAGCCAGACAAACAGCGCAAACACAACAAACCAGACAAAACAGCAGGUAGAAGAGAAGUCAGAAGUCAGAAGCCAGAACUCAGAUCUCAGAUCUCAGAUCUCCUCUCCCCCCCACCUCAACUAGAUUCAGUCUCAGAGCCCCUUAUAUACAUCUGCCAGCUGAUAGGUCUCAGGUGCGCUUCCUUAAGCCAACAUGAUCAUAUUUGGGCUUAAGGGUGAAAGGAGGGAUGGCUACAAGACCCAGAGUCCGUAGUGCGCGGACCGGAUCAAGACCCGGAAUGCAGGCUUCAGACCGGACCAUAACAAUAUAUGUGCCCACCAUUUAGAACAUCUACCAUAAAUGCUGCCCGGGCAGGGCAAAAAACAUUAUCAAGGAUGCAUCUCACCCUAACCAUGGACUUUUUACUCUCCUCCCAUCCGGUAGGCACUACAGGAGCCUCUGCUCCCGCACCAGCAGGCACAGGAAGAGCUUCUUCCCUGAGGCUGUGACCCUGCUGAACCUCACAUCACAGCGCUAAACAGUAUUG